GAUGAACGCUGGCGGCGUGCCUAAUACAUGCAAGUCGAGCGAACAGACGAGGAGCUUGCUCCUCUGACGUUAGCGGCGGACGGGUGAGUAACACGUGGAUAACCUACCUAUAAGACUGGGAUAACUUCGGGAAACCGGAGCUAAUACCGGAUAAUAUAUUGAACCGCAUGGUUCAAUAGUGAAAGACGGUUUUGCUGUCACUUAUAGAUGGAUCCGCGCCGCAUUAGCUAGUUGGUAAGGUAAAGGCUUACCAAGGCAACGAUGCGUAGCCGACCUGAGUGGGUGAUCGCCCACACUGGAACUGAGACACGGUCCAGACUCCUACGGGAGGCAGCAGUAGGGAAUCUUCCGCAAUGGGCGAAAGCCUGACGGAGCAACGCCGCGUGAGUGAUGAAGGUCUUCGGAUCGUAAAACUCUGUUAUUAGGGAAGAACAAAUGUGUAAGUAACUAUGCACGUCUUGACGGUACCUAAUCAGAAAGCCACGGCUAACUACGUG
rnacentral:rRNA from 1 species